AGCUCUUGUUCCUAUCAGGGCUGGCCCAGACCUACCAAGGGGGUCAUUACACCGGGCAGCCAAGGAACACUGGUGAGAAAACGUUUGCUGACUGCUGCUCUAGGACAUUCGUCAACACAGAUGACCAGAGCUCACACCAGCGUUCCUGAAGGCCAGCAAAGAUUUCCUUCACAAUGAAGUGUGUGCUCGGAAAACCACCAGCAGAGAUACCCACAUAGGCAGCAAAUGCACCUGGCACAUCCUGAGCAUGGACUUAUAGCCUCUGCUCUCUUCUGGCUCCAGGG